rnacentral:lncRNA from 1 species
AUAAUAAAAUGCAAUUUGCUAUAGAGCUUUGCAAGAAAUGUGAGUGGAGUGUGGCGUUUGAAGGCGAGUAUUCUAUUGGUGCCUGCUGUGUACACUAUGCUAGAUGCAUUCCAUGUGUAAUUUCGUCCAUCCCUCUGCCAGGUAUAUGGAUUAAUUUGAUCAAAAGAGUUGGCUUCAGGCUCCCAUUGUUCUUCAUCAGCCAUCAACAAAAGCAUCAUUUUAGGUGACUGGUCUGCUGGAGAUGAGAAGGUUGAUGGCACCUGAAUACAUCCCAGCCCCUGAGAAGAGCUUCCACGAUUUUACCACCAUUUAUGGGCACUGCCAGCAACUGCUGUGUGGACAGGAACCAGAGAAAUUUGUGAAAGUGCGGCAUUUACUCACUGCUGGACAGAAGCCAUUUCUUGAUAUGCUGCUCCUAUGUGUUAUCAUGUCAACCCCAUCUUUCCAGAGAUACUCUGUAUUUGGAGCCAUUGGGAGUUGGAAGUCAGCAAACUUGAACUUGUUCCUUAGACCUGAUGCUUGAAGCCCCUGCCUCGCCUCUAACUGUAUCUCCCAUAUUUCAGCACUUCCUGGCUGCCAAGGAAAAGCAUCCCCCCUGGCAGAGGCUGUAGGGGCUGGUACCCCUGUUGGACAAUAAAAUAAAAUUUGGUAACA